UCGUAGAAUAGAUCCGAAAAGCUAAUCUCGUCUUGGUGAAAAUUCUAUUCCCAAAUGUAAAUCUGAUAAUUAAGCAAAAUUUAAUUUGAAAAACCUAAAUCGUCAUCAUCAGUACCUUUUCUUGAAGCUUUAGGGGAAAAGCUAACGGAUUCAAUUGUCAACCAAUUUGUUUGAAGGUUCAUCGUUGAUAUCGAUUUCAAAGUACUGUAAAAAUGAUGGGUUAUGACAUCCCCUGGUGCGCUCACAACCCACUGGUACCAACUCCGUUGUGUUUUCUUUUAGACAAUUUAUGUCAUGGCUAGACAAGAGAUUACUGGAACUUUUCGCAUGGUUGCUUACAGUGUUCAUAGCUAUACCAUAUACUUAACUAUGUCAGGUGAGGAAACCGUUGUUAGGGAUGGAGAAAAAGUUAUUCCUAACUCUGGCAUUUAUAAAUUUGAAUGUGGGGUGCUGGUACUAAAGAAGGAGGAAGACAUCUUCAUGCAAACUUCAUUUGAAAGAGUCGUACUAUCGAAUGUCGCAACCGCAACCCUAUGCAAGGACCCAACUUCAGCAGCCACAUCAGCAAAUUGAAGGACAGGUCAUCGCUGUUAGAGCACUGCUCGGUCGAACUCGCAAGUGUUGCUAUCUCAA